rnacentral:rRNA from 1 species
GCCGCGAAUGGCUCAUUACAACAGCCAUAGUUUACUGGAUCUUACUUUCCUACUUGGAUAACUGUGGUAAUUCUAGAGCUAAUACACGCAUGAAAGCUCUGACCGUUCGGGAGGAGCGCAUUUAUUAGAACAAAACCAAUCGGGCCUUCGGGCCCGCCAGUUGGUGAAUCUGAAUAACUUUGCAGAUCGCACGGUCUCGUACCGGCGACGUAUCUUUCAAAUGUCUGCCUUAUCAACUUUAGAUGGUAGUUUACACGCCUACCAUGGUUGUAACGGGUAACGGAGAAUAAGGGUUCGACUCCGGAGAGGGAGCCUGAGAAAUGGCUACCACAUCCAAGGAAGGCAGCAGGCACGCAAAUUACCCACUCCCGGCACGGGGAGGUAGUGACGAAAAAUAACGAGGCGGUUCUCUACGAGGCCCGCCAUCGGAAUGGGUACAAUUUAAAUCCUUUAACGAGGAUCUAUUGGAGGGCGGUGUGGUGCCAG